GAUAAACGCUGACAGAAUGCUUAACACAUGCAAGUCGAUGAUGGGAGCUAGCUUGCUAGAAGAAGUCAUAGCGGACGGGUGAGUAACGUGUAAAGAACUUACCAUAUAGACUGGGAUAACAGAGGGAAACUUCUGAUAAUACUGGAUAAGUUAGUAGUAGCAUUACUAAGUAAUGAAAGGUAGCAAUACGCUAUAUGAGAGCUUUGCAUCCUAUUAGCUAGUUGGUGGGGUAAAAGCCUACCAAGGCGAUGAUAGGUAGCCGGCCUGAGAGGGUGGACAGCCACAAGGGGACUGAGAUACGGCCCUGACUACUACGGGAGGCAGCAGUGGGGAAUAUUGGACAAUGGAGGCAACUCUGAUCCAGCAAUUCUGUGUGUGUGAAGAAGGUUUUAGGACUGUAAAACACUUUUAGUAGGGAAGAAAGAAAUGACGGUACCUACAGAAGAAGCGACGGCUAAAUACGUG
rnacentral:rRNA from 1 species